rnacentral:rRNA from 1 species
UACGUAGGGGGCUAGCGUUGUCCGGAUUUAUUGGGCGUAAAGAGCGUGUAGGCGGCCAGGUAGGUCUGCUGUAAAAACUCGAGGCUCAACCUCGAGACGUCGGCGGAAACCAUCUGGCUAGAGUCCGGAAGAGGAGAGUGGAAUUCCUGGUGUAGCGGUGAAAUGCGCAGAUAUCAGGAAGAACACCCGUGGCGAAGGCGGCUUUCUGGGACGGUACUGACGCUGAGACGCGAAAGCGUGGGGAGCGAACAGG